rnacentral:rRNA from 1 species
GAAAGUAAGCAAGGGCAGACGGUGGAUGCCUUGGCUCUCGGAGGCGACGAAGGACGUGAUAAGCUGCGAAAAGCUCGGGGGAGGCGCAAAUAGCCGUUGAUCCCGGGAUAUCCGAAUGGGGCAACCCGGCAGGCUGAAGGCCUGUCAUCCCGUAAGGGAGGCGAACGUGGGGAACUGAAACAUCUAAGUACCCAUAGGAGGAGAAAAUAAACAAUGAUUCCGUAAGUAGUGGCGAGCGAACACGGAAGAGCCCAAACCCAUGUCGUCUAGGCGACACGGGGGUUGUAGGACCACGACGUGGCAAGAGGAUGGCAAGUGGAACGCCUUGGAAAGGGCGACCGUAGAGGGUGAUAGUCCCGUACACGACUGCCUGCCGAAGCCUAGUGGCAUCCUGAGUAGCGCGGGGCACGAGAAAUCUUGCGUGAAACAGCGGGGCCCAUCCCGUAAGGCUAAAUACUCCCGAGAGACCGAUAGCGAACCAGUACCGUGAGGGAAAGGUGAAAAGAACCCCGAGCAGGGGAGUGAAAUAGACCCUGAACCCGUCUGCCUACAAGCGGUCGGAGCAUAGCAAUAUGUGACGGCGUGCCUUUUGCAUAAUGAACCUACGAGUUACCUUCCCCGGCAAGGUUAAGUACCUAAGGUACGGAGCCGAAGCGAAAGCGAGUCUGAAGAGGGCGGCCAGUCGGGGGGGGUAGACGCGAAACCGAGUGAUCUACCCUUGGCCAGGUUGAAGGUUGGGUAACACCAACUGGAGGACCGGAUGGGUAAGCGUUGAAAAGCUUUCCAAUGAGCUGAGGGUAGGGGUGAAAGGCUAAUCAAACUCGGAGAUAGCUCGUACUCCCCGAAAUGCAUUUAGGUGCAGCCUCUUUAUAGUAUAUCGUGAGGUAGAGCGACUGAUUGGAUGCGAGGGCUUCACCGCCUAUCAAGUCCAGAUAAACUCCGAAUGCGCGAUAUAUAUUUAAAGGGAGUGAGGGCGCGGGUGCUAAGGUCCGUGUCCGAGAGGAGAAGAAUCCAGACCACCGGCUAAGGCCCCCAAAUGAUCGUUGAGUUGAACUAACGAGGUCGGAUCGCAGAGACAGCUAGGAUGUUGGCUUGGAAGCAGCCAUUCAUUUAAAGAGUGCGUAACAGCUCACUAGUCGAGCGAUCUGGCGUGGAUAAUAAUCGGGCAUAAACGAUCUGCCGAAGCCGUGGAUGUCGUAAGACAUGGUAGGGGAGCAUUCCAUGCGGCGUCGAAGAUGAGGGAUGACCCUUGUUGGAGCGCAUGGAAAAGCAAAUGUAGGUAUGAGUAACGAUAAGGGGGGCGAGAAACCCCCCCGCCGAAAGACCAAGGUUUCCUGAUCAACGCUAAUCGGAUCAGGGUGAGUCGGGACCUAAGGCCAAGCCGAACGGCGCCGCCGAUGGAAGAAUGGGUUAAUAUUCCCAUACUGCCUCAUGGAGUGACGUGGAGACGGAGAAGUGACAGUCCUGCCGGCUGACGGAAUAGCCGGUUGAAGGGUGUAGAUAUUGAUUCCCGUAGGCAAAUCCGCGGGGAGAGUCGAACCUGACAGUAUACCGAGUACUUGUACGAGGUAAUAUGGACGUAACCAUGCUCCCAAGAAAAUCCGCUAAACUUAUCCAUGCGGCACCCGUACCGUAAACGGACACACGUGGUCGGGUUGAGAAUACUGAGGCGCUCGAGUGACUCACGGUUAAGGAACUAGGCAAAUUGACCCUGUAACUUCGGGAUAAAGGGUCCUCGUCGUAAGGCGAGGCGCAGAGAAUAGGUCCAGGCAACUGUUUAACAAAAACACAUGGCUGUGCUAAAUGGAAACAUGACGUAUACAGCCUGACACCUGCCCGGUGCUGGAAGGUUAAGAGGAGAUGUCAUCGCAAGAGAAGCGUUGAAUUGAAGCCCCAGUAAACGGCGGCCGUAACUAUAACGGUCCUAAGGUAGCGAAAUUCCUUGUCGGGUAAGUUC